GGUCAAUACUGCGUAACACCCAAUCCCACAAUACCAACUGCAAUUCUCAGCUUCUUGCCUUCUUCUUCACUGGUAUAUCGUCAGCUAUAAAUAAGCCCAGCCUUUCUGUGACCGAACGCGGAAUCAAUAAAAUCCAAACCCCAAAUUCUCGCUCAAUUUCUCACCAGAGUGAGUCCAAGGCAGCCUAGCCUGAGAAUGGCGGCGAAGGGGAAGAGCAUCCGAUUGCCGCCGAGGAAAACGGCGUUGUCGUGGGCGACGGUGUUCACCGCGCUCAUAAUGGUUGCCUUUUUCGUUUUAAUUAUCCUCGCUUUGGGGGUUAUCUCGACGUCCAGAGAGUCCCCGAGAGCGCACGAUCUCACCACAAUCGCGCGCACCGCGACGGAGAGGGAAGAUGAUGGCGAUAAAGGAGAUAGGUGGGUUGAAGUGGUUUCCUGGGAGCCUAGAGCCUUUAUCUAUCAUAAUUUCUUGUCGAAGGAUGAAUGUGAAUAUUUAAUUAGCCUUGCCAAGCCCAGUAUGAGAAAGUCAACGGUUGUUGACAAUGAAACUGGCAAGAGCAAAGAUAGCAGGGUGCGGACAAGCACGGGAACAUUUCUAACCAGAGGAGGUGAUCAAAUAAUCAGUAACAUCGAGAAAAGAAUUGCACAUUUCACUCACAUACCUGUAGAAAAUGGCGAAAGCCUUCAAGUUCUCCACUAUGAAGUGGGCCAGAAGUAUGAACCCCACUAUGAUUACUUUGCUGAUGAAUUUAAUAUUCAGAAUGGGGGUCAACGAGUGGCCACGCUACUCAUGUACCUGUCUGACGUUGAAGAAGGAGGAGAAACAGUUUUCCCUGAUGCCAAGGGUAACAUUAGUGCCGUCCCUUGGUGGGAUGAGCUAUCCGAAUGUGGAAAACGCGGAUUGUCUAUAAAACCAAAAAUGGGCGAUGCAUUGCUUUUCUGGAGCAUGAAACCAGACGCAAGUCCAGAUCCUUCCAGUUUGCAUGGUGGUUGCCCCGUUAUAAAGGGUAACAAAUGGUCAUCUACAAAAUGGAUGCGCUUGCACAAGUAUGAUACAUAAACUGUGCAAACGGUAAAAUUCGUUAACCAGACUACACGCGAAUAUUGUGGAUGGCAAUUGUGCCUGUUAGCAUAAUAUGGUUACUGUGUUUACGUUUUGACAGGGGUAUCAAGAGAGCCUUCUUCUCAAGUCCUUUCAUGGCUCUUCAAGUCUCUGACACUCUUAUAGCUACAGAAAACCGGCAAAUAGGGUAGAGGAUAUAGAAACAGAAAGACCAAACUUAAAGCAUAUAGUGUACAAUUUUUACUAUGUUUUCCAGUGAGCCCUUUCAUGUUGUCAUUCAAAGCAUAAACUGUACAAUUUUUAGUAUUUUUUUUUUUUUUUU